CCUACGGGAGGCAGCAGUAGGGAAUCUUCCACAAUGGGCGAAAGCCUGAUGGAGCAACGCCGCGUGGGUGAAGAAGGUCUUCGGAUCGUAAAACCCUGUUGUUAGAGAAGAUAGUGCGUGAGAGUAACUGUUCACGUUUCGACGGUAUCUAACCAGAAAGCCACGGCUAACUACGUGCCAGCAGCCGCGGUAAUACGUAGGUGGCAAGCGUUAUCCGGAUUGAUUGGGCGGAAAGGGCACGCAGGCGGUCUUUUAAGUCUGAUGUGAAAGCCUUCGGCUUAACCGGAGUAGUGCAUUGGAAACUGGGAGACUUGAGUGCAGAAGAGGAGAGUGGAACUCCAGGUGGAGGGGUGAAAUGCGUAGAUAUAUGGAAGAACACCAGUGGCGAAAGCGGCUCUCUGGUCUGUAACUGACGCUGAGGUUCGAAAGCGUGGGUAGCAAACAGGAUUAGAUACCCCUGUAGUC
rnacentral:rRNA from 1 species